rnacentral:rRNA from 1 species
UACGUAGGGCGCAAGCGUUGUCCGGAAUUAUUGGGCGUAAAGAGCUCGUAGGCGGUCUGUCGCGUCGGAUGUGAAAGCCCGGGGCUUAACCCCGAGCCUGCUUCCGAUACGGGCAGACUAGAGGUAGGCAGGGGAGAGCGGAACUCCUGGUGUAGCGGUGGAAUGCGCAGAUAUCAGGAGGAACACCGGUGGCGAAGGCGGGUCUCUGGGCAGUAACUGACGCUGAGGAACGAAAGCGUGGGGAGCGAACAGG